rnacentral:rRNA from 1 species
GCCCAGACUCCUACGGGAGGCAGCAGUAGGGAAUCUUCCGCAAUGGACGAAAGUCUGACGGAGCAACGCCGCGUGAGUGAUGAAGGUCUUCGGAUCGUAAAACUCUGUUGUUAGAGAAGAACAAGUACCGUUCGAAUAGGGCGGUACCUUGACGGUACCUAACCAGAAAGCCACGGCUAACUACG